AUUGAACGCUGGCGGCAGGCCUAACACAUGCAAGUCGAGCGGAUGAAGGGAGCUUGCUCCUGGAUUCAGCGGCGGACGGGUGCGUAAUGCCUAGGAAUCUGCCUGGUAGUGGGGGAUAACGUCCGGAAACGGGCGCUAAUACCGCAUACGUCCUGAGGGAGAAAAUGGGGGAUCUUCGGACCUCACGCUCUCAGAUGAGCCUAGGUCGGAUUAGCUAGUUGGUGGGGUAAAGGCCUACCAAGGCGACGAUCCGUAACUGGUCUGAGAGGAUGAUCAGUCACACUGGAACUGAGACACGGUCCAGACUCCUACGGGAGGCAGCAGUGGGGAAUAUUGGACAAUGGGCGAAAGCCUGAUCCAGCCAUGCCGCGUGUGUGAAGAAGGUCUUCGGAUUGUAAAGCACUUUAAGUUGGGAGGAAGGGCAGUAAGUUAAUACCUUGCUGUUUUGACGUUACCAACAGAAUAAGCACCGGCUAACUUCGUG
rnacentral:rRNA from 1 species